rnacentral:rRNA from 1 species
AGCGAACGCUGGCGGCAGGCCUAACACAUGCAAGUCGAACGGAUCCUUCGGGAUUAGUGGCGGACGGGUGAGUAACACGUGGGAACGUGCCCUUUGGUUCGGAACAACUCAGGGAAACUUGAGCUAAUACCGGAUGUGCCCUUCGGGGGAAAGAUUUAUCGCCAUUGGAGCGGCCCGCGUAGGAUUAGCUAGUUGGUGGGGUAAAGGCCCACCAAGGCUACGAUCCUUAGCUGGUCUGAGAGGAUGAUCAGCCACAUUGGGACUGAGACACGGCCCAAACUCCUACGGGAGGCAGCAGUGGGGAAUCUUGCGCAAUGGGCGAAAGCCUGACGCAGCCAUGCCGCGUGAAUGAUGAAGGUCUUAGGAUUGUAAAAUUCUUUCACCGGGGACGAUAAUGACGGUACCCGGAGAAGAAGCCCCGGCUAACUUCGUGCCAGCAGCCGCCGUAA